GACGAACGCUGGCGGCGUGCCUAAUACAUGCAAGUUGAGCGCUGAAGGUUGGUACUUGUACCAACUGGAUGAGCAGCGAACGGGUGAGUAACGCGUGGGGAAUCUGCCUUUGAGCGGGGGACAACAUUUGGAAACGAAUGCUAAUACCGCAUAAAAACUUUAAACACAAGUUUUAAGUUUGAAAGAUGCAAUUGCAUCACUCAAAGAUGAUCCCGCGUUGUAUUAGCUAGUUGGUGAGGUAAAGGCUCACCAAGGCGAUGAUACAUAGCCGACCUGAGAGGGUGAUCGGCCACAUUGGGACUGAGACACGGCCCAAACUCCUACGGGAGGCAGCAGUAGGGAAUCUUCGGCAAUGGACGAAAGUCUGACCGAGCAACGCCGCGUGAGUGAAUAAGGUUUUCGGAUCGUAAAACUCUGUUGGUAGAGAAGAACGUUGGUGAGAGUGGAAAGCUCAUCAAGUGACGGUAACUACCCAGAAAGGGACGGCUAACUACGUG
rnacentral:rRNA from 1 species